rnacentral:tRNA from 2 species
AGUGUGGCUCAGUGGUAGAGCAGCUGAUUCGUAAUCAGCAGGUCGUGGGUUCAAUCCCCACCACU